GGCGUAAAGCGCAGGUAGGCGGUUUGGUAAGUCUUUUGUGAAAGCUCCUGGCUCAACUGGGAGAGGUCAAGGGAAACUACCGGACUAGAGUGUGGUAGGGGAUACUGGAAUUCCUGGUGUAGCGGUGAAAUGCGUAGAUAUCAGGAGGAAUACCUAUGGCGAAAGCAGGUAUCUGGGCCAUCACUGACGCUGAGCUGCGAAAGCUAGGGGAGCAAACAGGAUUAGAUACCCUGGUAGUCCUAGCCCUAAACGAUGCUCAUUAGAUGUGGGAGGUAUCGACCCCUUCCGCGUCACAGCUAACGCAUUAAAUGAGCCGCCUGGGGAGUACGGCCGCAAG
rnacentral:rRNA from 1 species